UACGAAGGGGGCUAGCGUUGUUCGGAAUCACUGGGCGUAAAGGGCGCGUAGGCGGCUUUAUAAGUCGGGGGUGAAAGCCUGUGGCUCAACCACAGAAUUGCCUUCGAUACUGUAGAGCUUGAGACCGGAAGAGGUAAGUGGAACUGCGAGUGUAGAGGUGAAAUUCGUAGAUAUUCGCAAGAACACCAGCGGCGAAGGCGGCUUACUGGUCCGGUUCUGACGCUGAGGCGCGAAAGCGUGGGGAGCAAACAGG
rnacentral:rRNA from 1 species